rnacentral:lncRNA from 1 species
UGCGGAUAGUUAUUCACCGUAAUUGAUAAUCAUGGAUAUCUUCUCGAUUCUUUUUAAGCCGCAUAAGCAUCCGACCUCUACAGGUAUCCAUGAAACAUAUCUAGAAAAGCUCCUCUCUUAUUUCUUCAUCAAGAAACUAGCAAGCAAUCUUGAGGAAGAAAAAAAGAAGAUGAGAGAACUCCUCCUCUCAAAUCAGCACCU